GCCCGGUUAGCUCAAUCGGUAGAGCGUGAGACUCUUAGAGUACACGAAAUCUCAAGGUUGCGGGUUCGACCCCCGCAUCGGGCU
rfam:Metarhizium anisopliae BRIP 53293 unplaced genomic scaffold Scaffold_4, whole genome shotgun sequence.